GACGAACGCUGGCGGCGUGCUUAACACAUGCAAGUCGAACGGAAAGGCCCUGCUUUUGUGGGGUGCUCGAGUGGCGAACGGGUGAGUAACACGUGAGUAACCUGCCCUUGACUUUGGGAUAACUUCAGGAAACUGGGGCUAAUACCGGAUAGGAGCUCCUGCUGCAUGGUGGGGGUUGGAAAGUUUCGGCGGUUGGGGAUGGACUCGCGGCUUAUCAGCUUGUUGGUGGGGUAGUGGCUUACCAAGGCUUUGACGGGUAGCCGGCCUGAGAGGGUGACCGGCCACAUUGGGACUGAGAUACGGCCCAGACUCCUACGGGAGGCAGCAGUGGGGAAUAUUGCACAAUGGGCGGAAGCCUGAUGCAGCAACGCCGCGUGCGGGAUGACGGCCUUCGGGUUGUAAACCGCUUUCGCCUGUGACGAAGCGUGAGUGACGGUAAUGGGUAAAGAAGCACCGGCUAACUACGUGCCAGCAGCCGCGGUGAUACGUAGGGUGCGAGCGUUGUCCGGAUUUAUUGGGCGUAAAGGGCUCGUAGGUGGUUGAUCGCGUCGGAAGUGUAAUCUUGGGGCUUAACCCUGAGCGUGCUUUCGAUACGGGUUGACUUGAGGAAGGUAGGGGAGAAUGGAAUUCCUGGUGGAGCGGUGGAAUGCGCAGAUAUCAGGGGGAACACCAGUGGCGAAGGCGGUUCUCUGGGCCUUUCCUGACGCUGAGGAGCGAAAGCGUGGGGAGCGAACAGGCUUAGAUACCCUGGUAGUCCACGCUGUAAACGGUGGGUACUAGGUGUGGGGUCCAUUCCACGGGUUCCGUGCCGUAGCUAACGCUUUAAGUACCCCGCCUGGGGAGUACGGCCGCAAGGCUAAAACUCAAAGGAAUUGACGGGGCCCCGCACAAGCGGCGGAGCAUGCGGAUUAAUUCGAUGCAACGCGUAGAACCUUACCUGGGUUUGACAUGGAUCGGGAGUGCUCAGAGAUGGGUGUGCCUCUUUUGGGGUCGGUUCACAGGUGGUGCAUGCCUGUCGUCAGCUCGUGUCGUGAGAUGUUGGGUUAAGUCCCGCAACGAGCGCAACCCUUGUUCACUGUUGCCAGCACGUUAUGGUGGGGACUCAGUGGAGACCGCCGGGGUCAACUCGGAGGAAGGUGGGGAUGACGUCAAGUCAUCAUGCCCCUUAUGUCCAGGGCUUCACGCAUGCUACAAUGGCUGGUACAGAGAGUGGCGAGCCUGUGAGGGUGAGCGAAUCUCGGAAAGCCGGUCUCAGUUCGGAUUGGGGUCUGCAACUCGACCUCAUGAAGUCGGAGUCGCUAGUAAUCGCAGAUCAGCAACGCUGCGGUGAAUACGUUCCCGGG
rnacentral:rRNA from 1 species